CACAGAUAAUCCGGCUUGCAGGUUUCACGUACUGAACCAAACAGGGCCUCAGUACAUCAGACCAGAGCAGUCUCUGCCUUCAUCAAUAAUAAUAAUAACAAGAUGCCAUGGCCAUCUCAACACGGGAGAAAGGAACUGCAGAGGUUGUUCCGAGGACAUCAAAUCUGUGCAGAAACCAAAAACAUGUGCUACACGCCUACACUGCUACCUCGAGGGCUCGAGGCUCCAAGAAGAAAAUAGAUCUUCAUCUCCAUCAAUAUUCAAUACUUGUUGUGUGCCAGGCGUGGUCGACCCUUGGCUGCGCAAUUGUGAGCAGCACACGAUGCGGCGGCACUGCCUAGCAUAUAUUGGUGAAGAAGAGGAACACGCCCAUGGCAAUGACGAUGAUGACGGCGGGCUCCGGCAACGCGCGCAAGUUGGCCGCGAGCGCGCGCAAGUUGGCCGCGAGCUCGGUGCCGACCUCGUCCACGCGGACGAACACCUUGUCCUCCGUCCACAACACAACAUGUAAUCGAUGCACCAUGGCAGCAGCGGCGACUGUAUAUAUCGACGAAGAAGAGGAACACGUCUGUGACGACGCCGACGAUGACAGCGGGCUUCAGCAACAUGCGCAGGUCGCCCGCGAGCUAGGCAGCGACCAUGCCCACGCGGGCGGACACCUCGUCCUCCAUCCACAACACGUAAUCGAUUACGCCGACCUCAACGUUCCGUUCACCAUUGUAGCGGCGAACGGCGUGGAGGAGGGGAGAAAGAGUAGGGUUGCGAGUCUGCGGGCGCUGAGAGCAUGAUUUUUU
rnacentral:misc_RNA from 1 species